rnacentral:tRNA from 1 species
GGGCGCAUAGCUCAGUUGGUAGAGCAGCUGACUCUUAAUCAGCGGGUCCCAGGUUCGAAUCCUGGUGCGCCCACCA